rnacentral:ncRNA from 1 species
GCGUAGUGACAAAUCGGUCGGGAACCGAUUUGAACGCUGCUUGCAGCGGCCCCGAAGGGGCGAGGCCCAGGGAUGGGCCGAGUAACUGCAGC